UGAAAUCUGUGUACUAAUAAAUACAUUCCCACACUUUAUGAUAUUUUUCUUGUUUGACAUGUGAUUUUCAGAAGAUCUCUUUGUCGGUAAGUUUCGUAUUUGGUGUUUUCUAACAUAAUUUUUCGUUUGUAUGAGUGGUGUCUCAAAAAAAAUGUCAAUGAAAACAAGACUGUUAAAAAUAUGUCAUCUAGUAUGAAGAUAAAAAAUGAUUAUUUU
rnacentral:lncRNA from 1 species